ACUUCCUGUGCUAUCGGAGGGAUAAGGCACGAUUUAUAACUUCCCCAUAUAUCUCCUUCUAUGAAUAUUUCUCCCGAUCCCCUCGACCCCAAUCAUGUUCUUUCCGCAUGCGCGCCGGCCCCCAGGCCAAUCUUCGUCUCCCUCUAUGCCUAGCCGCCGCCCUCACUUUGACAUGCCUGUGUGAGAAUCUCCAACUCGGACUCAUCUAGUGAUAUUUAUCGUUGUUGCCGUCUCCUGGAUCUGCAGAUCGUGUUUUGUUCUCCGCUCGCCGUUAUGGGAUUUAGAUGUCGAGAAUUCGUCAAAGAUGUGCAGAAGCGAGCACGCGAGCCAAACGGAAGACGAGAGUGUGUCGAGACUCGAGUUACUGCCGGAAGUUCGGCAAUCCUAUUGCAAUCUGGCUACGUGCGUGGUGGAUCUGUGUUCCUCCACCUGCCAUUCCCGGCCCUCAAGUCCUGAUCCACAAGCGAUUGUUCCUAGGUACACUACCACGGAUACCAAGUACCAACUGCCAACCAUUCUGCCCUCACCAGGCUUCGUUGCUCCUUUUUACUAAUUUUAUUAGCUUCAGAUGAGAGGUAAAGCUUCAGUAUUUGUACUCUGCAACUAUGAGAAAUAUAAAGCCAGGAUUGUACGUAAGAAGGUUUCAGAGAGUAAUCAGGAUUGCCAAAUAAAUGGAUGUUGCAUGGAUGAGAUGCUGAUAAGAAGUUGGAGACUAGUGCUUCUACCACAGUUUUACAUUAUGUUUUGGAAUUUCAUUUUAACAUAUACACAUCUUGUAAUCAUUGGAUCAUGUUCUUUGUAAAGCUACAUAGUUGAUUUAAUAUAUGAGAUCAUUUUGUUUACUA